GUUGCGAAUUUUAGUGUCAGUUCCUAAUUCCGAAAUGGGUCCCAAAAUAAGUGUUUUUUUCAAGGAAAACCCAGUGAAGUCGGGUUCCUAGAGAAGCAACAAGCGGCGGCCGUCCUGAAUUUGAUCAUCGUUCCACCUGCGGCACCAGCCAUGGGCGUUUUCGGACGUGGAUUAGUACACGAAAUUAUGGUGAGCAGAGACAGUGAUGGAGUGAUAGAGGUGGUGUGUGAUUCAGACCCGCAAUUAGAAGAUCAACCCUAUGCUGAAUAUAGAGCCAAACUGCCAAAAAAUAUAUUUUACGACUUAUGCUGUAUCUCAUACAUUCCAUUCUAAAAUUAAAUACACUUUCAUCAGUUUGAUACCAACCUUCUCGGCCUUUUUCCAAAAAUCAUAUCCAAAUUCAUCACCCUCAUUUAGGCGGGUCAGAAUGAGGAGCCACACUGGAAACCAAAACGAUCUAGACCUGUCAGGAGAUGUGGCCGGAGAGGUCGUCAAAUUAAUUAGAUCACCAAACGAGCUCAGCUUGGAACUUCUUAGCCACGAAGAGCUGGGCGAUUACUCAAAGAAGAAGAUUCCAAGGACAAUAUGAGAGGGCAACUGCGCGUCGAACGCUGCAAUCAGUUUUGCCCUGGCUCCUUUGAAGCAAUUUGGCAACAUCCAGGACCCAAAUUUGGAAAGGAUGUUCCAGCAUAUAUUUUGAGGAAUAGAGGCGUCAUCAGCAAGCAAGCAGAAAAAUGUACGGUCCUGGGUGUCCUGAAAUUAAGAGCACGAUUAGAGAAGGAGGCCCGAUACGGGGAUUUGGACAACGACAACCUAUGGAUAGAGCAGCAAUUUGACUUUAGGACAAUGAGAGCCAAAAUUGGUAUCUGCCUCCAGUGCCAAACUUCUCGAUCACUUCUCCUGACAGGAAAUUUAAGUACCUCCGACUUCAAGCGACUUAUAAAUUCGAAACGCAAGCAAACUGAAAAACACAAUUGCUUCAACUGCAAAAAGCCCACUGAACACCGUCUGCUAUUCCAGUUGAAGCAAUCAGCUUUAAUAAUUGGGUUGGACAGUGAUGAAAAAGGGUCUCUCGGGGAUGCCAAAAUUUCAGAUCCAUCGGAAAUAUUGAAAAAGUACCCCCACGAAAUUUCUCUCGGUGGCAGGGAGUGGAUUUUUUGUGCCGCUACUCUCGGUGUAUUUGGACGCGGACUGGUCCAUCAACUGAUGUUGAAUCGGUCUGGUGAUGGCCAUAUCAAUGUGGUUUGUGACUCUCGCCCAGACCUAGAAGAGCAAUCGUAUGAAGAGUACAGGACAGAAUUGCCAAAGAAAUUUUUUUCCGAUUUAAGCCAUGUAUCCUAUAUUCCUUGAUAGAACCAAAGCCUCUUUCCAGCAACCCAACCCAACCAAGAUUUAUCAAACCCUACACUCCAACGCCACUGUCCAGCCAAAAUGUCAUCGUCACUUGGAGUGCUGCCGUCCGACCCACUCUCUGGCCAGCAUCUAUAUUCCCCUACAACAGACUCGACCAAAAAACAACAAUAUGGAACCAAAGGAGAAGGAUGCAGACUGACAUUUUUGAAGCUUCACAAGUAAUUCUAAUUUAUUGUAGAUUACAAAUAAGACAAUAUGUAAAGUUCAGGGACUGAAUAAUUACUUAUAAUUUACUUAUAUUAAACUUAUAAUUGUUUUUCCUUGGGUGCAUUUACGUUAAGAUUCAAUAAGUCUGAAUUAUUGUUCGUAAAAGAUUAUAUGAGAGUUUAUUUGAAGCGUUGAAAUAUAGAG